rnacentral:tRNA from 1 species
GGCUCAUUGGUCAAGCGGUUAAGACUUCGGUUUUUCACACCGACAUCCAGGGUUCGACUCCCUGAUGAGCUA